AUUGAACGCUGGCGGCAUGCCUUACACAUGCAAGUCGAACGGCAGCACGGGUGCUUGCACCUGGUGGCGAGUGGCGAACGGGUGAGUAAUACAUCGGAACGUACCUUAUCGUGGGGGAUAACGCAGCGAAAGCUGUGCUAAUACCGCAUACGCCCUGAGGGGGAAAGCGGGGGAUCGCAAGACCUCGCGCGAUUAGAGCGGCCGAUGCCUGAUUAGCUUGUUGGUGGGGUAAAAGCCCACCAAGGCGACGAUCAGUAGCUGGUCUGAGAGGACGAUCAGCAACACUGGGACUGAGAGACGGCCCAGACUCCUACGGGAGGCAGCAGUGGGGAAUUUUGGACAAUGGGGGCAACCCUGAUCCAGCAAUGCCGCGUGAGUGAAGAAGGCCUUCGGGUUGUAAAGCUCUUUUGUCAGGGAAGAAACACCGGCUCUAACACAGUCCGGGAAUGACGGUACCUGAAGAAUAAGCACCGGCUAACUACGUGCCAGCCGCCGCAGUAA
rnacentral:rRNA from 1 species